UUAAAACAUGAAAAAUUCGAGUGGCUCCUAAACACUAUACCAUCUGGGGGAAAAAUCUUUUUAUUAUAAAUUAAUUUUAAUAUAAAAGUUAUUUUAAUAUAUGUGCAUUUAAGAAAAAAGAGCAGUGAAAAUUUCCCAAAAUCGCAAGCAGAUAAAUUUUGGCAGCAUAGUUUUGUCAAAAAUUGCGCGAUUUGGCAACACUGCGUUGCAACUUGAUUCGCUGUUUGUAGCUGCGCCAAAGAACUAACUUUUAAAAUCGUGUAUUUAACAGCUUUUGACACUAACAUAUUUUCUGAAGCAGGGUAGAAUUCGAAAGUCAUUGCAGGAAUCUAACUCAAAUUUAGGUCUUGAGUGGUGAAAGUGCUACUUGUUGAAGAGUAUGAUUAUUAUGGUAUCUAUCGUGACUUGUCGAUGAACUUUGUAAAUCAAAAUGGAGCCACAAGAACUGUUGAAAAUUUGGCUCAGGGUGCUUUUACUGGUAAGGGCUAUAAAUUUUUUUAUCUUCUUUCUGAAGCUUUAGAAUUUCAUUAUUUCAGUCAGAAAAUUGUAUAAUAAUAUC